CCUGCCUUUAGAAGCAUGGGAGGGGGUGGCUGCUGUGUCACUGUGAGUCAGAAGGUGGCAGAGAGGGGAGAGGCUAUGUUUAUGUUCAGUAUUCUGACCUGUGACAAUCUGAAUGAUUCGUAGCCUAACAUC